ACUAAGCGUACACGGUGGAUGCCCUGGCAGUCAGAGGCGAUGAAGGACGUGCUAAUCUGCGAUAAGCGUCGGUAAGGUGAUAUGAACCGUUAUAACCGGCGAUUUCCGAAUGGGGAAACCCAGUGUGAUUCGUCACACUAUCAUUAACUGAAUCCAUAGGUUAAUGAGGCGAACCGGGGGAACUGAAACAUCUAAGUACCCCGAGGAAAAGAAAUCAACCGAGAUUCCCCCAGUAGCGGCGAGCGAACGGGGAGGAGCCCAGAGCCUGAAUCAGUGUGUGUGUUAGUGGAAGCGUCUGGAAAGGCGCGCGAUACAGGGUGACAGCCCCGUACACAAAAAUGCACAUGCUGUGAGCUCGAUGAGUAGGGCGGGACACGUGGUAUCCUGUCUGAAUAUGGGGGGACCAUCCUCCAAGGCUAAAUACUCCUGACUGACCGAUAGUGAACCAGUACCGUGAGGGAAAGGCGAAAAGAACCCCGGCGAGGGGAGUGAAAAAGAACCUGAAACCGUGUACGUACAAGCAGUGGGAGCACGCUUAGGCGUGUGACUGCGUACCUUUUGUAUAAUGGGUCAGCGACUUAUAUUCUGUAGCAAGGUUAACCGAAUAGGGGAGCCGAAGGGAAACCGAGUCUUAACUGGGCGUUAAGUUGCAGGGUAUAGACCCGAAACCCGGUGAUCUAGCCAUGGGCAGGUUGAAGGUUGGGUAACACUAACUGGAGGACCGAACCGACUAAUGUUGAAAAAUUAGCGGAUGACUUGUGGCUGGGGGUGAAAGGCCAAUCAAACCGGGAGAUAGCUGGUUCUCCCCGAAAGCUAUUUAGGUAGCGCCUCGUGAAUUCAUCUCCGGGGGUAGAGCACUGUUUCGGCAAGGGGGUCAUCCCGACUUACCAACCCGAUGCAAACUGCGAAUACCGGAGAAUGUUAUCACGGGAGACACACGGCGGGUGCUAACGUCCGUCGUGAAGAGGGAAACAACCCAGACCGCCAGCUAAGGUCCCAAAGUCAUGGUUAAGUGGGAAACGAUGUGGGAAGGCCCAGACAGCCAGGAUGUUGGCUUAGAAGCAGCCAUCAUUUAAAGAAAGCGUAAUAGCUCACUGGUCGAGUCGGCCUGCGCGGAAGAUGUAACGGGGCUAAACCAUGCACCGAAGCUGCGGCAGCGACGCUUAUGCGUUGUUGGGUAGGGGAGCGUUCUGUAAGCCUGUGAAGGUGUGCUGUGAGGCAUGCUGGAGGUAUCAGAAGUGCGAAUGCUGACAUAAGUAACGAUAAAGCGGGUGAAAAGCCCGCUCGCCGGAAGACCAAGGGUUCCUGUCCAACGUUAAUCGGGGCAGGGUGAGUCGACCCCUAAGGCGAGGCCGAAAGGCGUAGUCGAUGGGAAACAGGUUAAUAUUCCUGUACUUGGUGUUACUGCGAAGGGGGGACGGAGAAGGCUAUGUUGGCCGGGCGACGGUUGUCCCGGUUUAAGCGUGUAGGCUGGUUUUCCAGGCAAAUCCGGAAAAUCAAGGCUGAGGCGUGAUGACGAGGCACUACGGUGCUGAAGCAACAAAUGCCCUGCUUCCAGGAAAAGCCUCUAAGCAUCAGGUAACAUCAAAUCGUACCCCAAACCGACACAGGUGGUCAGGUAGAGAAUACCAAGGCGCUUGAGAGAACUCGGGUGAAGGAACUAGGCAAAAUGGUGCCGUAACUUCGGGAGAAGGCACGCUGAUAUGUAGGUGAAGUCCCUCGCGGAUGGAGCUGAAAUCAGUCGAAGAUACCAGCUGGCUGCAACUGUUUAUUAAAAACACAGCACUGUGCAAACACGAAAGUGGACGUAUACGGUGUGACGCCUGCCCGGUGCCGGAAGGUUAAUUGAUGGGGUCAGCGCAAGCGAAGCUCUUGAUCGAAGCCCCGGUAAACGGCGGCCGUAACUAUAACGGUCCUAAGGUAGCGAAAUUCCUUGUCGGGUAAGUUCCGACCUGCACGAAUGGCGUAAUGAUGGCCAGGCUGUCUCCACCCGAGACUCAGUGAAAUUGAACUCGCUGUGAAGAUGCAGUGUACCCGCGGCAAGACGGAAAGACCCCGUGAACCUUUACUAUAGCUUGACACUGAACAUUGAGCCUUGAUGUGUAGGAUAGGUGGGAGGCUUAGAAGUGUGGACGCCAGUCUGCAUGGAGCCGACCUUGAAAUACCACCCUUUAAUGUUUGAUGUUCUAACGUUGACCCGUAAUCCGGGUUGCGGACAGUGUCUGGUGGGUAGUUUGACUGGGGCGGUCUCCUCCUAAAGAGUAACGGAGGAGCACGAAGGUUGGCUAAUCCUGGUCGGACAUCAGGAGGUUAGUGCAAUGGCAUAAGCCAGCUUGACUGCGAGCGUGACGGCGCGAGCAGGUGCGAAAGCAGGUCAUAGUGAUCCGGUGGUUCUGAAUGGAAGGGCCAUCGCUCAACGGAUAAAAGGUACUCCGGGGAUAACAGGCUGAUACCGCCCAAGAGUUCAUAUCGACGGCGGUGUUUGGCACCUCGAUGUCGGCUCAUCACAUCCUGGGGCUGAAGUAGGUCCCAAGGGUAUGGCUGUUCGCCAUUUAAAGUGGUACGCGAGCUGGGUUUAGAACGUCGUGAGACAGUUCGGUCCCUAUCUGCCGUGGGCGCUGGAGAACUGAGGGGGGCUGCUCCUAGUACGAGAGGACCGGAGUGGACGCAUCACUGGUGUUCGGGUUGUCAUGCCAAUGGCACUGCCCGGUAGCUAAAUGCGGAAGAGAUAAGUGCUGAAAGCAUCUAAGCACGAAACUUGCCCCGAGAUGAGUUCUCCCUGACUCCUUGAGAGUCCUGAAGGAACGUUGAAGACGACGACGUUGAUAGGCCGGGUGUGUAAGCGCAGCGAUGCGUUGAGCUAACCGGUACUAAUGAACCGUGAGGCUUAACC
rnacentral:rRNA from 1 species